rnacentral:rRNA from 1 species
CGUAGGGUGCGAGCGUUAAUCGGAAUUACUGGGCGUAAAGCGUGCGCAGGCGGUUUGUUAAGAUAGGCGUGAAAUCCCCGGGCUCAACCUGGGAACUGCGCUUAUGACUGGCAAGCUAGAGUACGGCAGAGGGGGGUGGAAUUCCACGUGUAGCAGUGAAAUGCGUAGAGAUGUGGAGGAACACCAAUGGCGAAGGCAGCCCCCUGGGUCGAUACUGACGCUCAUGCACGAAAGCGUGGGUAGCAAACAGGAUUAGAUACCCUGGUAGUCCACGCCCUAAACGAUGUCAACUAGGUGUUGGGAGGGUAAAACCUUUAGUACCGGAGCUAACGCGUGAAGUUGACCGCCUGGGGAGUACGGCCGCAAGGUUA